rnacentral:rRNA from 1 species
UACGUAGGGGGCAAGCGUUGUCCGGAAUCAUUGGGCGUAAAGAGCGUGUAGGCGGCCAGAUAAGUCCGCUGUGAAAUCUCGAGGCUCAACUUCGAGCUGUCGGUGGAAACUGUCUGGCUAGAGUCCGGAAGAGGAGAAUGGAAUUCCUGGUGUAGCGGUGAAAUGCGCAGAUAUCAGGAAGAACACCCGUGGCGAAAGCGGUUCUCUGGGACGGUACUGACGCUGAGACGCGAAAGCCGUGGGGAGCGAACAGG